rnacentral:tRNA from 1 species
GGGUCGGUAGCUCAGUUUGGUAGAGCACUUGAUUGAAGAUCAUGGUGUCGGUGGUUCGAAUCCACCCCGUCCCG